rnacentral:sRNA from 1 species
GGCCCGAGAUGAUGAAGAGCAAAUAUCCCCCCUGGGGCCUCAGAGGGGUCCAGCUUGCUGGACGGAGGGCAGAGAGGAGAGCAGCCUGCCAUGACUCCCGAGGCUUCCAACUCAAGACUUGGGUUGGGGGUGCUGAGCCCCUUUCUCCCUUUUACAUUUCCCUACCCACAGACCUGAGCGGCCAUGGGAGGUUGGGGUUGGCAUUUGCCUGGGGGAGUUUCUGAGCGAGCAGCACCUGCUGCCUUGGUGGAACCCAUUGCUGGGAGUGGCCAGGGCUCAGCACCAGUGCUCAGCAGAUGCUCAGUGCGUUUUGCUGAGUUUGCUGAGGGAAGACUGUUUUCUUUUCUCUCUCACACACACAGAGUGGAUGAGGAUGAGGAUGACCUGGAGGAAGAACACGUAACUAAGAUUUAUUACUGUAGUCGGACACACUCCCAGCUGGCCCAGUUUGUGCAUGAGGUGAAGAAGAGCCCCUUUGGCAAGGAUGUUCGGCUGGUCUCCCUCGGCUCCCGGCAGAACCUUUGUGUAAAUGAAGACGUGAAAAGCCUAGGUUCUGUGCAGCUUAUCAACGACCGCUGUGUGGACAUGCAGAGGAGCAGGCACGGUAGCCACCGGGACCAUGGUGUAGCCAUAGGCAGUCUGGAGAGAGUGAGGGGGGGUGGCAGUGACUGAAGACCAUUAAGUGUCUUGCAUAGAAAGAAUGGCAGAGGAGACCCCAGUUCCUUCCUGAGUCCCCUCUUCCUUGGGAAAAAGUGUUCCUACUCUCUGGGUCAGUGUCUGGUCCGAAUCCUUGGC